GGUUAAGCGACUAAGCGUACACGGUGGAUGCCCUGGCAGUCAGAGGCGAUGAAGGACGUGCUAAUCUGCGAUAAGCGUCGGUAAGGUGAUAUGAACCGUUAUAACCGGCGAUUUCCGAAUGGGGAAACCCAGUGUGAUUCGUCACACUAUCAUUAACUGAAUCCAUAGGUUAAUGAGGCGAACCGGGGGAACUGAAACAUCUAAGUACCCCGAGGAAAAGAAAUCAACCGAGAUUCCCCCAGUAGCGGCGAGCGAACGGGGAGCAGCCCAGAGCCUGAAUCAGUGUGUGUGUUAGUGGAAGCGUCUGGAAAGGCGUGCGAUACAGGGUGACAGCCCCGUACACAAAAAUGCACAUACUGUGAGCUCGAUGAGUAGGGCGGGACACGUGGUAUCCUGUCUGAAUAUGGGGGGACCAUCCUCCAAGGCUAAAUACUCCUGACUGACCGAUAGUGAACCAGUACCGUGAGGGAAAGGCGAAAAGAACCCCGGCGAGGGGAGUGAAAAAGAACCUGAAACCGUGUACGUACAAGCAGUGGGAGCACGCUUAGGCGUGUGACUGCGUACCUUUUGUAUAAUGGGUCAGCGACUUAUAUUCUGUAGCAAGGUUAACCGAAUAGGGGAGCCGAAGGGAAACCGAGUCUUAACUGGGCGUUAAGUUGCAGGGUAUAGACCCGAAACCCGGUGAUCUAGCCAUGGGCAGGUUGAAGGUUGGGUAACACUAACUGGAGGACCGAACCGACUAAUGUUGAAAAAUUAGCGGAUGACUUGUGGCUGGGGGUGAAAGGCCAAUCAAACCGGGAGAUAGCUGGUUCUCCCCGAAAGCUAUUUAGGUAGCGCCUCGUGAAUUCAUCUCCGGGGGUAGAGCACUGUUUCGGCAAGGGGGUCAUCCCGACUUACCAACCCGAUGCAAACUGCGAAUACCGGAGAAUGUUAUCACGGGAGACACACGGCGGGUGCUAACGUCCGUCGUGAAGAGGGAAACAACCCAGACCGCCAGCUAAGGUCCCAAAGUCAUGGUUAAGUGGGAAACGAUGUGGGAAGGCCCAGACAGCCAGGAUGUUGGCUUAGAAGCAGCCAUCAUUUAAAGAAAGCGUAAUAGCUCACUGGUCGAGUCGGCCUGCGCGGAAGAUGUAACGGGGCUAAACCAUGCACCGAAGCUGCGGCAGCGACGCUUAUGCGUUGUUGGGUAGGGGAGCGUUCUGUAAGCCUGCGAAGGUGUGCUGUGAGGCAUGCUGGAGGUAUCAGAAGUGCGAAUGCUGACAUAAGUAACGAUAAAGCGGGUGAAAAGCCCGCUCGCCGGAAGACCAAGGGUUCCUGUCCAACGUUAAUCGGGGCAGGGUGAGUCGACCCCUAAGGCGAGGCCGAAAGGCGUAGUCGAUGGGAAACAGGUUAAUAUUCCUGUACUUGGUGUUACUGCGAAGGGGGGACGGAGAAGGCUAUGUUGGCCGGGCGACGGUUGUCCCGGUUUAAGCGUGUAGGCUGGUUUUCCAGGCAAAUCCGGAAAAUCAAGGCUGAGGCGUGAUGACGAGGCACUACGGUGCUGAAGCAACAAAUGCCCUGCUUCCAGGAAAAGCCUCUAAGCAUCAGGUAACAUCAAAUCGUACCCCAAACCGACACAGGUGGUCAGGUAGAGAAUACCAAGGCGCUUGAGAGAACUCGGGUGAAGGAACUAGGCAAAAUGGUGCCGUAACUUCGGGAGAAGGCACGCUGAUAUGUAGGUGAAGUCCCUCGCGGAUGGAGCUGAAAUCAGUCGAAGAUACCAGCUGGCUGCAACUGUUUAUUAAAAACACAGCACUGUGCAAACACGAAAGUGGACGUAUACGGUGUGACGCCUGCCCGGUGCCGGAAGGUUAAUUGAUGGGGUCAGCGCAAGCGAAGCUCUUGAUCGAAGCCCCGGUAAACGGCGGCCGUAACUAUAACGGUCCUAAGGUAGCGAAAUUCCUUGUCGGGUAAGUUCCGACCUGCACGAAUGGCGUAAUGAUGGCCAGGCUGUCUCCACCCGAGACUCAGUGAAAUUGAACUCGCUGUGAAGAUGCAGUGUACCCGCGGCAAGACGGAAAGACCCCGUGAACCUUUACUAUAGCUUGACACUGAACAUUGAGCCUUGAUGUGUAGGAUAGGUGGGAGGCUUGGAAGUGUGGACGCCAGUCUGCAUGGAGCCGACCUUGAAAUACCACCCUUUAAUGUUUGAUGUUCUAACGUUGACCCGUAAUCCGGGUUGCGGACAGUGUCUGGUGGGUAGUUUGACUGGGGCGGUCUCCUCCUAAAGAGUAACGGAGGAGCACGAAGGUUGGCUAAUCCUGGUCGGACAUCAGGAGGUUAGUGCAAUGGCAUAAGCCAGCUUGACUGCGAGCGUGACGGCGCGAGCAGGUGCGAAAGCAGGUCAUAGUGAUCCGGUGGUUCUGAAUGGAAGGGCCAUCGCUCAACGGAUAAAAGGUACUCCGGGGAUAACAGGCUGAUACCGCCCAAGAGUUCAUAUCGACGGCGGUGUUUGGCACCUCGAUGUCGGCUCAUCACAUCCUGGGGCUGAAGUAGGUCCCAAGGGUAUGGCUGUUCGCCAUUUAAAGUGGUACGCGAGCUGGGUUUAGAACGUCGUGAGACAGUUCGGUCCCUAUCUGCCGUGGGCGCUGGAGAAUUGAGGGGGGCUGCUCCUAGUACGAGAGGACCGGAGUGGACGCAUCACUGGUGUUCGGGUUGUCAUGCCAAUGGCACUGCCCGGUAGCUAAAUGCGGAAGAGAUAAGUGCUGAAAGCAUCUAAGCACGAAACUUGCCCCGAGAUGAGUUCUCCCUGACUCCUUGAGAGUCCUGAAGGAACGUUGAAGACGACGACGUUGAUAGGCCGGAUGUGUAAGCGCAGCGAUGCGUUGAGCUAACCGGUACUAAUGAACCGUGAGGCUUAACCUU
rnacentral:rRNA from 1 species